rnacentral:ncRNA from 1 species
UCUUCAGGGGCAGGGUGAAAUUCCCGACCGGCGGUGAAAGUCCGCGACCCGCGCAUGGCGCGGCCGAUCCGGUGUGAUUCCGGAACCGAUAGUACAGUCUAGAUAAAGAAGA